rnacentral:rRNA from 1 species
CCUACGGGUGGCAGCAGUGAGGAAUAUUGGUCAAUGGCCGAGAGGCUGAACCAGCCAAGUCGCGUGAGGGAAGACGGCCCUACGGGUUGUAAACCUCUUUUGUCGGGGAGCAAAGAGCGUCACGUGUGACUCAUUGCGCGUACCCCAAGAAAAAGCAUCGGCUAACUCCGUGCCAGCAGCCGCGGUAAUACGGAGGAUGCGAGCGUUAUCCGGAUUUAUUGGGUUUAAAGGGUGCGCAGGCGGAGGUGCAAGUCAGCGGUCAAAUUGCGGGGCUCAACCCCGGACUGCCGUUGAAACUGCAUGCCUUGAGUGCGCGAGAAGUAGGCGGAAUGCGUGGUGUAGCGGUGAAAUGCAUAGAUAUCACGCAGAACUCCGAGUGCGAAGGCAGCAUACCGGAGCGCAACUGACGCUCAUGCACGAAAGCGUGGGUAUCGAACAGGAUUAGAUACCCGGGUAGUC